UUGCAUGAUGAGGUAAUUUGCGAUUGAUUCUGUUCUGGUGGCGCCCUCGCCGGGGCUGCUAUACCUGACGGAGAGGUGAUAUUUAAUUCUUACAUAUUCUGACA
rnacentral:snoRNA from 1 species